CCUACGGGUGGCAGCAGUGAGGAAUAUUGGUCAAUGGGCGGAAGCCUGAACCAGCCACGUCGCGUGAGGGAAUAAGGCCCUACGGGUCGUAAACCCCUUUUGCCGGGGAGCAAGGGCGGGGACUUGUCCCGGCCAGGAGAGUACCCGGAGAACAAGCAUCGGCUAACUCCGUGACAGCAGCCGCGGUAAUACGGGGGAUGCGAGCGUUAUCCGGAUGUAUUGGGUUUAAAGGGUGCGUAGGGGGGAUAUUAAGUCAGGGGGAAAAAUGCGGGGCUCAAUCCCGUACGGCCGAUGAAACUGGGGGCCUAGAGUGGGCGAGAGGAAGGCGGAAUGAGUGGUGUAGCGGUGAAAUGCGUAGAUAUCACGAAGAACACCGAUUGCGAAGGCAGCCUUCCGGCGCUCUACUGACGCUGAGGCACGAAAGUGAGGGGAGCGAACAGGAUUAGAUACCCCAGUAGUC
rnacentral:rRNA from 1 species